UUAGAGUUUGAUCCUGGCUCAGGAUGAACGCUAGCUACAGGCUUAACACAUGCAAGUCGAGGGGCAGCGAUGAAGAAAGCUUGCUUUCUUCAGGCGGCGACCGGCGCACGGGUGAGUAACGCGUAUCGAACCUGCCUCAUACUCAGGAAUAGCCUUGCGAAAGUAAGAUUAAUGCCCGAUGUUAUUAGGAUAUCACAUGAUGUUUUAAUUAAAGAUUUAUCGGUAUGAGAUGGCGAUGCGUCCCAUUAGCUUGUUGGCGGGGUAACGGCCCACCAAGGCAUCGAUGGGUAGGGGUUCUGAGAGGAAGGUCCCCCACAUUGGAACUGAGACACGGUCCAAACUCCUACGGGAGGCAGCAGUGAGGAAUAUUGGUCAAUGGACGCAAGUCUGAACCAGCCAAGUAGCGUGCAGGAAGACGGCCCUCUGGGUUGUAAACUGCUUUUAGUUGGGAAUAAAGUGCACCACGCGUGGUGUUUUGUAUGUACCAUCAGAAAAAGGACCGGCUAAUUCCGUGCCAGCAGCCGCGGUAAUACGGAAGGUCCAGGCGUUAUCCGGAUUUAUUGGGUUUAAAGGGAGCGCAGGCGGACCUUUAAGUCAGCUGUGAAAUACGGCGGCUCAACCGUCGAACUGCAGUUGAUACUGGAGGUCUUGAGUGCACACAGGGAUACUGGAAUUCAUGGUGUAGCGGUGAAAUGCUCAGAUAUCAUGAAGAACUCCGAUCGCGAAGGCAGGUAUCCGGGGUGCAACUGACGCUGAGGCUCGAAAGUGCGGGUAUCAAACAGGAUUAGAUACCCUGGUAGUCCGCACAGUAAACGAUGAAUACUCGCGAUUUGCGAUACACAGUAAGUCGCCAAGCGAAAGCGUUAAGUAUUCCACCUGGGGAGUACGCCGGCAACGGUGAAAC
rnacentral:rRNA from 1 species